rnacentral:rRNA from 1 species
ACUCAAAUGAAUUGACGGGGGCCCGCACAAGCAGCGGAGCGUGUGGUUUAAUUCGAUGCAACGCGAAGAACCUUACCAGGGCUUGACAUCCCACUUACAGAGGCUGAAAGGUCUUGCCCGCAAGGGGUGUGGGACAGGUGCUGCAUGGCUGUCGUCAGCUCGUGCCGUGAGGUGUUGGGUUAAGUCCCGCAACGAGCGCAACCCCCGGGCUUAGUUAGGUUCCUAAGCCGACUGCCGGGACCAACCCGGAGGAAGGUGGGGAUGACGUCAAGUCAGCACGGCCCUUACGUCCUGGGCCACACACACGCUACAAUGGCCGGUACAGCGGGCGGUGCGAAGCCGUGAGGCGGAGCGAAUCCCUGCAAAGCCGGCCCCAGUGCAGAUCGGGGGCUGCAACUCGCCCCCGUGAAGUCGGAGUUGCUAGUAACCGCGGGUCAGCACACCGCGGUGAAUACGUUCCCGGGCCUUGUACACACCGCCCGU